GCAGAGCGUGGGGCAAUGGCCACGGGGACAGACCAGGUGGUGGGUCUCAGCCUCAUCAUCGUGUGCCUCAUCAUCUUCACCUACUAUACUGCCUGGGUGAUUCUCGUGCCAUUCACUGACAGCCAACAUGUCAUCAACAAGUGUUCCCUGCCCCGAACUUAUGCUGUUGCCACCCCACUAGCUGCUGGCCUCCUGGUGCUCCUGUUUGUGGGACUGUUCAUCACCUAUGUGAUGCUGAAAAACCAGAAGGUGACCAAAAAGGCCCGGUGAGGGCCCAGCGGGGAUGCAGCUGCCUCCCCUCCAGUGCACGCCAAGGGCGGGGGCCCACAGGACCUGUGCAGGCACUGCAGCCGCUCAAGCACGGCUGUCCUGCAGAC